AGUUUUUUUCGUACAUAUUUGUGGUCUAAGGAACAUACUUCGAUACUAUUAUUUUAAAUUAAUCACAGCAAAAGUAAUAAUGAAAAUAAGAAAAUGUGUAUUUCAAAAGUGUGACGAAACAUUGAAUCAGGACCAUUCCUAAUCAUAGAGGGCUAUUUUAGGAACAAAUUUACUUAAAAUUUUUUUAUUUUUGUUGGGGAUGACCUUUAUCGUCUGAACACGGUCGAAAAAAAACAAUGAUUAAAACACCGCGUUCUAAAGAAAAUAUUUGAAACAUUGAGGCGAAGACUGAAUCUAUGGAUGGCAUUCGUGUUCUGAAAUUCCGAACCUCAAGAGUAAAUAUCUCAACACCAUAAUAUCUGGAACCUUUCAUGUUUUUGUUUAUAUAUAAAGUAUAAAAUUUAAUAAAGUAAAAUACAUUAGAGAAUUAUAA